rnacentral:rRNA from 1 species
CCUACGGGCGGCAGCAGUAGGGAAUAUUGCUCAAUGGAGGAAACCCUGAAGCAGCAACGCCGCGUGGAGGAUGAAGGUUUUCGGAUUGUAAACUCCUUUUGUUAGAGAAGAUAAUGACGGUAUGUAACGAAUAAGCAACGGCUAACUCCGUGCCAGCAGCCGCGGUAAUACGGAGGGUGCAAGCGUUACUCGGAAUCACUGGGCGUAAAGAGCGCGUAGGCGGUAUAGCAAGUCAGAUGUGAAAUCGUAUGGCUAAACCAUAGAACUGCAGUUGAAACUGUUAUUCUAGAGUAUGGGAGAGGUAGGUGGAAUUCUUGGUGUAGCGGUAAAAUCCGUAGAGAUCAAGAGGAAUACUCAUUGCGAAGGCGACCUGCUAGAACAUAACUGACGCUGAUGCGCGAAAGCGUGGGGAGCAAACAGGAUUAGAUACCCGAGUAGUC